UGGAAUAAAAUUAAGGAUGUGUUGUAAAAAUUACCCCAUCAAUUCUUAAUCAAUUGGAAAGGUAUUAGCAUAAUGGUUCCAUUAUAGCGAUGGGUUUGGCAUAUAACAGGUGACUGUUUCGAUUGCAUAUAUAUUUAGUCCAACGUCUGUUGUUAAGUUGGCAAUGGUAUCUCUGUCAUUUUCAUGGAUCGUGAUCUCUUGACCAUGACCAUUUAACCCCAUUGAUUGAGUGCUUGUUUCAUAUUUAAAUUUGGCUUCAAAAAUUUUCGAUGCACACAAGUAAAUCUCCCAACUUGUAUUAGAAGUUCAUACAAGGGGCUGAAGUGAUGUGUAAAUAACUUGUCAACGCUAUCACUUAAAUAAAUGUAUAAUUGACCAUGCGCCAUCUACGCUGCGAGUUAGAAACUUACUUGGGGCUAUACUAAUUUUGGCUGAAGACAGUAACUUUGCUUGGGUUUUGGGAAGUCUUCGGCCCUCAGAUUUUAAUGGGCUCUGAAGCUGAAAGGAAUAAGUAUGAGUUUGUUGAAGAGGAAUUCUCAAACGAGAGUCCUUGCUGUCGCUGAACAACCCAGUCGACAAGAAGGUUCCACUGCUCGUACAAACAGAACAGCAGUCCUGUGGCGGAGUCUCUGGUUAUAAUUAGAUGAGAAGUAGAAGGGAAAUCUACUCCUCCUGCAAGAUCCCUAUGAAAGGGCUAGGCACGCUUCUGAGGAAAAUUUGCAGCAGAGAAGGAGAGUGAAGAAACCCCGUGUUCGUAAAGGAAAAUUUCAGAUAAAUUGGAUCAGAAAGUUUCAAACAAACUUGUUCAAAAUUGCAUGCGUGUGAUCAUUCGUACAAUUGCCACAGAAGGGAAGGAGAAAGAGAAAGUAGUGAAAGAGGCUUGAGAGUAUCUGAAGACUCUGGAAAGCGCCUUGGAGGGGAACAAAUUCUUUGGAGGUGAAAUCAUUGGCUAUCUGGAGAUUUCUGCAGGAUGGACUCGAAGAUGGACCAAAUAGUUAAGGAAAUUGCUGAUGUAUAUGUGAUCGAUGCAGAUACCAUGCCUCUGCUCAAUGCUUUGUUUUGACCUCUUGCUUGAAGUUCAUGCCGUCAAGGAAAGUAUCCCUUCCCGCGAUAAAUUGCAAGAGGACCUCAAAGGCCUUUACAUCUUGUGGCUGUGGAGAGCUUCAUCAACCUGAAGCCUACAGCUUCAUUUCUCAUUGUGCCUGCCUGGCUUCUGUGCAUGAUCGCUUGUUGGCUAUAUUACAUUAACAAUGAGCUGUAUUCAUGCUGAAAUAAUAUGUAAUCAAAUUAAACCCAAACAAGAAAAAACCCUUAACUAAAUUUUUCAGAAAUAGCAUGCA